rnacentral:sRNA from 1 species
UUUCUCUUGGCUUCCUAGUUCUGGCAGUGACCUGUACGUACAGUCCCAUACGUUAUGCCGGCUGUAUACGUACGACAAACGGACUUCCUUAUUAGCAUCCUGCCAACUUAAAAUGCAAGAAAAGCAAAAAGUGUGUGGUGGAGGCUCAUGUCAUCGACAACCUCGUUUUUCAUUCAGUUUAGCGUCCGGGUUCUCUGUUCUUUUGCCUGUAUAUGCAUAUAUGCUUUAUGCGACAUUGUUCAU